AUUGAACGCUGGCGGCAGGCCUAACACAUGCAAGUCGAACGAGUGGCGGAAGGGUGAGUAAUGUCUGGGAAACUGCCUGAUGGAGGGGGAUAACUACUGGAAACUGUAGCUAAUACCGCAUAACAUCAGAUGGGCCCAGAUGGGAUUAGCUUGUUGGUGGGGUAACGGCUCACCAAGGCGACGAUCCCUAGCUGGUCUGAGAGGAUGACCAGCCACACUGUAACGUAGACACGGUCCAGACUCCUACGUGAGGCAGCAGUGGGGAAUAUUGCACAAUGGGCGCAAGCCUGAUACAGCCAUGCCGCGUGUAUGAAGAAGGCCUUCGGGUUGUAAAGUACUUUCAGCGGGGAGGCGUUACCCGCAGAAGAAGCACCGGCUAACUCCGUGCCAGCAGCCGCGGUAAUUC
rnacentral:rRNA from 1 species